AUUUACUUCUCUAUGUGUUGGUGGGUUCUACGUUCAUUUUUUCUCAUUUGAAAAUCUUUAGGAUUGAGAUUGUGAGUAUAACAUUGCGUUCAAGUUUAAAACUGUUUCUUAGUCAUAUGAAAAUGUUUCUUUUAGCUUAAGGAUUGACAAAAAUACCUAAGGUGUCAAGUUCGCGAUUGAUGGCAGAAUUUUAACUAUAAGUUUUUGCUAUGAAUGAGGUGAUGCACGCAAUGCAGAGCAAGGGUUCACUUUGUAUGUCAUUGUUGUUGUUGCUGGCGAGGUAUGCAUUAUUCAUACUUCAACCUUUGAAUAUUGUUUGUGGAUUUUAAAUUUUUGUACCUACUUGUUCAGGGCAAGUAUAGUGAGUGACCUGUAACGAAGUCUCAACUAAUUUGGUUAUUAUAUUAUACAAGAAUGUAACCCAUCAAUUUUAGUCCUGAAAUGUUACUUUGUAUCCUUAAUAGUCGUCCCUAAAAUGAACAAAUAAUAUAAGCAAUCUCCCAGCUAUUAGUUGUUUAAUAAAAACACAUGUGUAUGUACUGUGUUAUAUGUGAUAUAUGCUUAUGCUUACUAUGAAAUUGUACAAGCAUAUCUGAUGGGUGUUGC
rnacentral:lncRNA from 1 species